GGGACCUUGACGGCCUCCCACCCACCUGUGCUGGCGGCACCAGGUGCCCAUAAACUGGAAAAUCCUGCCAGCUCUACCUUCAAAAUACAUCCAGAAGCAGAGCCAUGUCUUUUCCCUGUAUCCUACACCUGCCCCCAGCAUCCCAUGCCUGGACUAUUGCAGUAGCCUCCUUGCUGGUCUUCCUUCCACUCUUUCAUCUACUCUCAGUAUACCAGCCAGAAAAAUCCUAUUAAGUCAGAUCAUGUCGGCAGGGCGCGGUGGCUCACAGCUGUAAUCCCAGCAUUUUGGGAGGGUGAGGCAAACUCACUUGAGCUCAGGAGUUUGAGACUAGCCUGGGCAACAUGGCAAAACCCCAUCUCUACAAUAAAUACAAAAAUUAGUGGCCAUGGUGGGGCGUGCUUGUAGCCCCAGCUACUCUGGUGGCUGAGGUGGGAGGAACACUUGAGCUCAGAAGGGUCCAGGCUGCAGUGAGACGAGAUCGCACCACUGCACUUCAACCUGGGUGACAGAGCAAGACCCUGUCUCAGAAAAUUAAAAAAUAAAUAAAUAACAUUUAAAAGUCAGAUCAUGUCCCUCCUCUGCUCAAAACUCUUCCAUGGGUCGGGCAGUGGUGGCUCAUGCCUGUAACCCCAGUACUUUG
rnacentral:lncRNA from 1 species